rnacentral:lncRNA from 1 species
GCCCCAGGUGUCCUGCAGCCAACUGCAUCUCAAGGUAGAACCAGGACAUAGUGACAUGUUGUGUUUUGUCCAUGAAGAUGGAAAGAUCCUAGACUCUAGAUACUGGUACUACAAGGAAGGCUCUUGGUGAAAGACCUAGGCUUUGAUGUCAUAUUGACCUAAAGUUGAAUUUUGAGUCCACUUCUUCUUAACUCAGUAAGAGUUCAGGACCUCAAUUUUCUCACUGGGUCCUGGAAGCUAUGUUUGCACUACAGGACCUGCAAAGAAUCAAUCCGGUGUUGAUUACCUGAUCAAAUCUGAGUCAAUCAAAGUAUCUUCUGGGGAAUUGGAAUUGGGAGACAAAAGGGUUAUCAAU